CAAAGGCUUGGUCCUGACUUUACUAUCAACUUUAGCCAAAUUUACACAUGCAAGUAUCCACGCCCCAGUGAGAAUGCCCUCACCUCCCCCUCCGGGAAAGAGGAGCCGGUAUCAGGCACGACCCGCUCAGCCCAUGACACCUUGCUAAGCCACACCCCCAAGGGACUUCAGCAGUGAUAAACAUUAAGCCAUAAGUGAAAACUCGACUUAGUUAAGGCUAACAGGGCCGGUAAAACUCGUGCCAGCCACCGCGGUUAUACGAGAGACCCAAGUUGAUGACCCCCGGCGUAAAGCGUGGUUAAGGAAUCCUUAAAACUAAAGCCGAACACCCUCAAAACUGUUAUACGUAUUCGAGGGCAUGAAGAACCACCACCAAGGUGGCUUUAAACCCCACCUGAACCCACGAAAGCUAAGACACAAACUGGGAUUAGAUACCCCACUAUGCUUAGUCCUAAACAUUGAUAGACCCCCACACCCACUAUCCGCCCGGGUACUACAAGCACCAGCUUAAAACCCAAAGGACUUGGCGGUGCUUUAGACCCCCCUAGAGGAGCCUGUUCUAGAACCGAUAACCCCCGUUUAACCUCACCCCUCCUAGUUCAUCCCGCCUAUAUACCGCCGUCGUCAGCUUACCCUGUGAAGGCCUCAUAGUAAGCAAAAUUGGCAAAACCCAAAACGUCAGGUCGAGGUGUAGCGCAUGAAGGGGGAAGAAAUGGGCUACAUUUUCUUACACAGAAAAUACGAAAAGUGUACUGAAACGUACACCUAAAGGAGGAUUUAGCAGUAAGCAGAAAAUAGAGUGUUCUGCUGAAACCGGCCCUGAAGCGCGCACACACCGCCCGUCACUCUCCCCAAGCCCCCACGAAUUAAAUACUUAAAAAUAAACAAAUGCAAAGGGGAGGCAAGUCGUAACAUGGUAAGUGUACCGGAAGGUGCACUUGGAAAAAC
rnacentral:ncRNA from 1 species